CACCGCCCGUCACACCAUGGAAGCCAGCUGUACCGGAAAGUCGGUGCGCCAACCCGCAAGGGAGGUAGUCCGCCUAUGGUAGUGACUGGUGACUAGGGGUGAAGUCGUAAACAAGGUACC
rnacentral:rRNA from 1 species